CCAGGUAGGGUAGAGCGCGGCGAGGCCCCGACGACGACGACGACGACGGCGCCGCCGCCGCCGCCGCCGGGGGACCUCGCGAGGACGGGCCCGGCGCCCGGGAAGCGAGGACGGACGGGCCGCGGCCUGCCGGGCGGGCGGGCGGGCGGCGGGGCGCGCGGGAGGGAGCGAGCGAGGGAGCGAGGGAGCGAGCGCGGGGCGGCGGGCGGGACGGCGGGGCGGGGCGGGGCGCGGCGAACCGGACGCCCCAUCCACCCGCCCGCGCGACGACACGCGACCGCCGCCCCCCGACGGGCUCGCCCCGCAGACGCACACGCAGCCACCCCCGCGGACCCUUCGCGCGCCCGCCCGCGACGAGGCGGACCGCCCGACCCGCGCCCGGCAGCCGCGAGGGACCGGCGGCCGCGCGCGCGCCCGCGGCGCCGGCGAGGCGGGGACGGCGCUCCGCCCCGCCCCGCGGGGCGGCCCCGACGUUCGGGCGGCGAGCGAGAGGCGGACCGCGGUGCCCGGGUCUCACCGCCCGCAGCCUCCGAGCGCGAAGGCGGCCCCCGCGCGGCACCCGGAGCGGCCGACUCGACCUUCGGCGAUCCGCGCGGCUCCCCCACACCGCCGCCGCAGUCGCGGCCAGCCCCCCGGAACCCUCUCUCCCCCGCACGCGCCACAGGCCGACCCCUCAAAAAACCCCUCUCCGGGAGCCCACCGGGGCCCAACGCCGGGGGGGCCGCCGACCCGGUCCCGAAGGCGCACGCCGGGGGACGGGGACACCGGGCCGACCAGCGGCCGGCGGCGGCGCCCCCCGAGGCGGUGCCGGGUUCGGUCCCAGACGAGGCCACCACCGACGUCGAGCCGGCGAGCCGCUCGGGGAGGGGAGAGGAUCGGCGGGCGGCGGGCGGGGAAGGGGCGCACAGAGAGCCAAGGGCCGGGGAACGCGAGGGCGAGGGCACCCGGGAGCCCGCAGAGCGGCGGCUCGGCGGGAGAAACCUCGGGCACGGCCGGGCCACCAGGAAAACACGGCCGCGGGAUCCCACCGCCACCGACACGAGGGCGGUCCCGCGGCGCCCCGCCUGGGACGCCGGACGGCCCUCGGCACCCACCGAGACCCGCCUCACGAGCCCCGGGUCCCGCCACCGGGGGCCCCGAAGCGACCACAGCCACCAACCCGACGCCAGGGCCGCAUCGCUCGUCAUUCUCGUCCAGCCUCCGACCCGGUCCCGCUCCGGGAGACCGGCGCGUCCCCAGCGUGGGACGCUUUCCCGGGGCCAGGCGGCCCAACCCCGCGCCCACGCGCACGCGGUCGUCGGCACCGCUCGCGACUCGGCACGGGAGCGGGCGGAGAGCCGACUCGCGGCCGAGGUGGGGGUCACGCGCCGGACGGAAGGCCGCGCACACCCACCGCUCGCGGCGGCCGCGUCCCAACCCGCUGGGACGCCGGGCCCGGCCCGGCGGGAUCCUCCCCCGACUCGGAAGGGGGAGGCGCGGGCCACACUGCAGGCGACGAGCCGCGCUCGGCCACCACCGCGGUGGCCGG
rnacentral:lncRNA from 1 species